UAGCCUUGACAUUGAUUGAACACACUAGAGAUAGAGUGGUGCCCUUCGGGGAACAUGAAAACAGGUGCUGCACGGCUGUCGUCAGCUCGUGUCGUGAGAUGUUGGGUUAAGUCCCGCAACGAGCGCAACCCUCGUCACUAGUUACUAACGGUUAGGCCGAGGACUCUAGUGAGACUGCCUUCGUAAGGAGGAGGAAGGUGAGGACGACGUCAAGUCAUCAUGGCCCUUACGGCUAGGGCAACACACGUGCUACAAUGGUUAGGACAAUGAGAAGCAAUAUCGCGAGGUGGAGCAAAUCUAUAAACCUAAUCUCAGUUCGGAUUGUAGUCUGCAACUCGACUACAUGAAGCUGGAAUCACUAGUAAUCGUAGAUCAGCUAUGCUACGGCGAAUACGUUCCCGGGUCU
rnacentral:rRNA from 1 species